rnacentral:lncRNA from 1 species
UGUUCCAUGGUCUGGUUAUAUUUUCAGGAUAUAAGUGUGCACAAGGACUAUUGGAAUCAGUACCUGAACUUUCCAGAGUGGGCAGAGGGAGACUUUCCGUUGUGGGCAUUCAAAAGUGACUGGAAGUGGAAAAUUAUUAAUGGAUCUCUGAACGGUUCUCAAUGAUAAAGCAUCUGAGAUGUUGCUUGCAAAAUAUUUNCUUCCAGAGAUUUAGAAGCUCUUGCAAGCGCUAUGGAAACCCUUGGUUGGUACAUCUGUGCCCUUCUGCACCAUGCUGUGGAUCCCAGCUCCGUGAUUUGCUAUUAAGAGAAAAGAAUAGGCAUACUCUGUNGCCGGAUUCUCAAGGACCUUAUAACUUGUAAAUGCCUAAUUCAGUAUUAUUAUCCAAUAAAGUAUUGUC